rnacentral:rRNA from 1 species
UAUAUAGGUAACGUGCCUCUUAGUCUGGGAUAGCCAUUGGAAACGAUGAUUAAUACUAGAUACUCCUUCUAACUCUAAUGUUAGUCGGGAAAGUUUUUCGCUAAGAGAUCGGCCUAUUUCCCAUCAGGUAGUUGGUAGUGUAAGAGACUACCAAGCCAAUGACGGGUAGCGGGUUUGAGAGGAUGAUCCGCCACACUGGUACUGAGACACGGACCAGACUCCUACGGGAGCAGCAGUGAGGAAUAUUGCACAAUGGGGAAACCCUGAUGCAGCAACGCCGCGUGGAGGAUGACGCAUUUCGGUGUGUAAACUCCUUUUAUGAGUACAAGAAAAAUGACGGUAGCUCAUGAAUAAGGCACCGGCUAACUCCGUGCCAGCCGCGCGGG